AAUUCAUUGCUAGUCAAAGCCUGUUUCCAGAGAUGCGCAUCAGAGCCAGCUCUUCAGUUCUGGGAGCAAUGAGUCAAUGCCUGAUUCCACAGAUGCCUAUCAGCUGCCCUUACAUGCACCAUGAAGAUACUGAAGAUGUCUUCAAUUGAAGGACAACUAUAAGCACAAGCAAGGAGGGGCAUCUAGAUGGCCAGCGCAAGGAUUACUAUAAUGUAAAAUUUCUCCAAACUUAAAGCAAGGCAUGCCCUCUUCCAAUAAAGGUAUCGUGGCGA